GAAAUCCGUCGACUUUUAAAAUCGUGAGGGUUCAAGUCCCUCUAUCCCC
rnacentral:tRNA from 1 species